UACGUAGGGGGCAAGCGUUGUCCGGAUUCAUUGGGCGUAAAGAGCUCGUAGGCGGCUUGGCAAGUCGGGUGUGAAAACUCCAGGCUCAACCUGGAGACGCCACCCGAUACUGCCAUGGCUUGAGUCCGGUAGGGGACCACGGAAUUCCUGGUGUAGCGGUGAAAUGCGCAGAUAUCAGGAGGAACACCGGUGGCGAAGGCGGCCCACUGGGCAGUCACUGACGCUGGAGGCGCGAAAGCUCGGGGAGCGAACGGGG
rnacentral:rRNA from 1 species